GGUGAUGGUCCUUACUGGAUGAUUUCCUAUACAUAUUUUCUUUCCAUAUCUUUGAUGUACAUGUUGGUUUUUGUGAUAUUUGGCUCAGUUAUAGGGUUGAAAUUCUUCACAUUGAAUGACUACGGCAUUCAAAUUGUGUUUUAUUUUAUAUAUAUAAACCUGCAAAUUUCCGUGGCCUUUCUAGUCGCUGCAUUCUUUUCCAAUGUUAAGACUGCUACAGUUGUAGGCUACAUAGGCGUCUUUGGAACGGGGCUGUUGGGUGGUUUCCUUUUCGCAAACUUUGUUGAAGACUCAUCAUUUCCUAGAGGCUGGAUCAUUGUGUUGGAGUUAUAUCCUGGUUUCUCUCUAUAUCGUGGUUUAUACGAGUUUUCACAAUACACUUUUACAGGGAAUGCAAUGGGGACACAUGGGAUGCGUUGGGGAAAUUUGAGUGAUAGCAAAAAUGGAAUGAGACAGGUCUUGAUUAUCAUGUUUGUUGAGUGGUUAGUGCUACUUUUUGUUGCAUAUUAUGUGGAUCAAGUUUUAUCCUCUGGAAGUGGAAAAAGUCCUCUAUUUUUCUUGCAAAAUUUUGGGAAGAAGCGUCCAUCAUCUUUUCGGAAGCCUAGUUUGCAAAGGCAGGGAUCUAAAGUUUUUGUUGAUAUGGAUAAACCUGAUGUCAUUCAGGAGAGAGAGAAGGUUGAGCAUUUACUGCUGGAGCCAACCACAACUCAUGCAAUUAUCUGUGACAACCUACAAAAGGUGUAUCCAGGAAGGGAUGGAAACCCUGAAAAACUGGCAGUACGAGGGAUCUCUCUUGCUUUGCCUCCAGGAGAGUGCUUUGGUAUGCUCGGUCCCAAUGGUGCUGGGAAGACCUCUUUUAUUAGUAUGAUGAUUGGGCUCACAAAGCCAACAUCGGGGACGGCUUAUGUUCAGGGUUUGGACAUACGGACUCAUAUGGAUUGGAUUUAUACCAGUAUGGGCGUGUGCCCUCAGCAUGACCUGCUUUGGGAAACUUUGACAGGAAGGGAACACUUGCUAUUUUAUGGCAGACUUAAAAACCUAAAAGGUUCUGCCUUGAUCCAAGCAGUGGAAGAAUCUCUCAGGAGUGUCAACUUGUUUAAUGGUGGGGUUGCUGAUAAACAAGCUGGGAAAUAUAGUGGAGGUAUGAAGAGGAGGCUUAGUGUUGCAAUAUCACUGAUUGGGGAUCCCAAAGUUGUCUACAUGGAUGAACCCAGUACUGGAUUAGAUCCAGCUUCGAGAAGCAAUCUGUGGAAUGUAGUGAAGCGUGCAAAGCAAGACCGGGCAAUUAUUCUCACCACACAUUCAAUGGAAGAGGCAGAAGCCUUAUGUGAUCGAUUAGGAGUUUUUGUUGAUGGCAGCUUGCAGUGCAUAGGAAACCCAAAAGAGCUGAAGGGUAGAUAUGGUGGUUCUUAUGUGUUUACAAUGACAACAUCUUUGGAUCAUGAGCAAGAGGUGGUGAUGAUGGUGCAACAACUCUCCCCCAAUGCUGAACGGACUUACCAUACAUCUGGAACACAGAAGUUUGAGAUGCCAAAAAAUGAGGUCAGAAUUGCAGAUGUAUUUCAUGCAGUUGAGAUUGCUAAAAGCAGAUUCCCAGUUUUUGCUUGGGGUUUGUCUGAUACCACCUUAGAGGAUGUCUUCAUCAAGGUGGCUAAUGGGGCCUAGCUAUAGCCAUUCAACAUCUCUUUACUUUGUUGGAGAUCAUUUUCUUUUGCAAAUAAUCAGCUUUAGUUUUAGAAAAUGUAAUAUGCAUAGUAGACGCAUACCUCUGCAUGUAACUCAAUAUCAUUUUC
rnacentral:misc_RNA from 1 species